rnacentral:rRNA from 1 species
GAUGAACGCUGGCGGCGUGCCUAAUACAUGCAAGUCGAGCGAACGGACGAGAAGCUUGCUCCUCUGACGUUAGCGGCGGACGGGUGAGUAACACGUGGAUAACCUACCUAUAAGACUGGGAUAACUUCGGGAAACCGGAGCUAAUACCGGAUGAUAUAUUGAACCGCAUGGUUCAAUAGUGAAAGACGGUUUUGCUGUCACUUAUAGAUGGAUCCGCGCUGCAUUAGCUAGUUGGUAAGGUAACGGCUUACCAAGGCAACGAUGCGUAGCCGACCUGAGAGGGUGAUCGGCCACACUGGAACUGAGACACGGUCCAGACUCCUACGGGAGGCAGCAGUAGGGAAUCUUCCGCAAUGGGCGAAAGCCUGACUGAGCAACGCCGCGUGAGUGAUGAAGGUCUUCGGAUCGUAAAACUCUGUUAUUAGGGAAGAACAAAUGUGUAAGUAACUAUGCACGUCUUGACGGUACCUAAUCAGAAAGCCACGGCUAACUACGUG